GGGGAAUAUUGGACAAUGGGCGCAAGCCUGAUCCAGCCAUGCCGCGUGUGUGAAGAAGGCCUUCGGGUUGUAAAGCACUUUCAGUGGGGAGGAAGGGGUUGUAGUUACUACCUGCAAUUUUUGACGUUACCCACAGAAGAAGCACCGGCUAACUCCGUGCCAGCAGCCGCGGUAAUACGGAGGGUGCAAGCGUUAAUCGGAAUUACUGGGCGUAAAGCGCACGCAGGCGGCUUGUUAAGUCGGAUGUCAAAGCCCCGGGCUCAACCUGGGAAU
rnacentral:rRNA from 1 species